GUAGGGAAUAUUGGGCAAUGGUCGGAAGACUGACCCAGCCAUGCCGCGUGCAGGAAGACGGCCCUCUGGGUUGUAAACUGCUUUUAUCUGGGAAGAAAAAGGCCAUGCGUGGCAAAUUGCCGGUACCAGAUGAAUAAGCACCGGCUAACUCCGUGCCAGCAGCCGCGGUAAUACGGAGGGUGCGAGCGUUGUCCGGAUUUAUUGGGUUUAAAGGGUGCGUAGGCGGCUGAUUAAGUCAGCGGUGAAAGACUUCGGCUUAACCGGAGAAGUGCCGUUGUUACUGGUUGGCUUGAGUGUCGGAGGGGUACAUGGAAUUGAUGGUGUAGCGGUGAAAUGCAUAGAUACCAUCAGGAACACCGAUAGCGAAGGCAUUGUACUGGCCGACAACUGACGCUGAUGCACGAAAGUGUGGGGAUCGAACAGGAUUAGAUACCCCUGUAGUCC
rnacentral:rRNA from 1 species